CGUCAUGCAGGAGAACUACGAGACGGUGACCUCGCUGGAUGAAGAGGAGUGACCCAGUGGUAAUGGAUCACUGAGAACCAGGGGCUCACUUCAGACAAGGAAAACUUACAGAUGGCAGGUGAAGAGAUGAUGAGUGAGAAUGAAGAGGAGAAUCUCCAGUAGGGAACCCCUAAGCAAGUGGAGCUGCAUGGGAUGUUAUCAGGAAGAUCUAAAUGGAACGGUUCCUGGAGCGUUGACCAGGGAACAUCCCAUAUGAGUCAUUACAGGUCAGAGAGACAUCAGAGAAACCAACUGUGAAAGGAAGUAAUUAAAUCCCUUAUUUGUGGGGAAAAGUGCAAAGACCUCAAGGAAACCACAGCCCAGCAGAAAAUCCGCACACACGAGUGGAAAAAAACACAUGCACAACGCACAGCAGUGUGGGAAAAGAUUUAGUGACAGCUCGCACCUUAUGGGACAUCAAAGAAUUCACAGAGGAGAGACCCUGUAAAUUCAUUAACUCUGGGAGUUAGUUUAGCAACAGAAGCAAACCUUAUUAUGCAUCGGAGAACCCCCACACAGGAGAGAAGCCAUACAAAUAACUUUACUGUGAGCCACUUUUUUUUUCAGCGCUCACAUCUUAUUUCACAUCACAGAAUCAACACAGGAGAUAAACCAUAUAGGCCUGUGGGGAAAAUUUCAAUCGGAGGUCAAACCUAAUUUGAUAUCAGCAAGUCCAUACAGGAGAGACACCCUAUAAAUGCACUGAGUGUGGGAAGGAAUUUAGUGAUAAGUCACGCCAUAUGGGACAUCAGAGAACCCACACAGGAGAUAAACCCUAUAAAUACCUUGACGGUGGGAAAAGCUUUAGUGACAACUCACAACUUAUUACACAUCAGAGCGCACACAUGGGGGAGAGUCCCUAUAAGUGCCUCGACUGUGGGAAAAUAUUCCUUCAAAGCUACAAUCUUCUCGUGCACCAGCGAAUCCAUACAGGGGAAACACCCUAUAAAUGUCCCGAUUGUGGGAAAGGCUUCAAUCGAAGUGCAAACCUUACUAGACACCAAAGAGUCCACGUAGGAGAAAAAGUGCCUACCAGCCUCGACUCUGGGGAAAAGGUUAGUGAUAAGUCACAACUUACUACACAUCACAGAAGCCACUCAGAAGCAAAACCCUAUGUAUGCAAGGACUGUGGGAACAGUUUCAUUCAGAGCUCAGAUCUGAUUGUGCAUCAGAGAGUUCAUACCGGAGAAACACCCUAUAAAUGCCCCGACUGUGGGAAAAACUUCACUCGAAGUUCAACCCUCACUAGACAUCAGAGAAUCCACAGGGGGGUAAAAACUCAUAAAUGCCUGGACUGUGGGAAAAGUUUCAUUCAGAGCUCAGAUCUGAUUGUGCAUCAGAGAAGCCAUACAGGAGAAACACCCUAUAAAUGCCCCGACUGUGGGAAAUAUUUCACUCGAAGUUCCAACCUUACUAGACAUCAGAGGAUCCACACAGGGGAAAAACCCCAUAUGUGCCUGGAGUGUGGGAAAAGUUUCAUUCAGAGCUCAGAUCUUCUUGUGCAUCAGAGAAUCCACAUGAGAGGGGAAAAAACGUAAAAGCCUCCACUUCUGAGCCAAAUUUUAGUAACAAGUCACGUCUUACCACACACUGGAGAACCCAUUUUGGAGAAAGUCCUUAUUAAUCCCCGGACUGUGGGAAAAGUUUCCAUCAGAGGUCAGUUCAUAUUUCACAUCAAAGGAUCCACAUGGCAGAGCAACUGUGUACGUACUCCGAAGGUGGGAUCUGUUUCAUUCACAGCUCACAGCUUUGUAUACAUCAGAUAGUCCAUGCAGGAGAGAGACCCUAUAAAUCAGUGGUUCUUAACCUUUCCAGAUUACUAUACCCCUUUCAGGAGCCUGAUUUGUCUAGUUUCACCUCACUUUAAAAUGACUUGUUUACAAAAUCACACAUAAAAACACAUCCUCUCCCAAGGCCCCCUCCCCCCCGCCUGUGGGGUAUGAUUACACAGCAGUGUAGGUCUGAGCUCAUAUUCGUGCCAGCCCCCCCUUCCAUCUAUUCACAAAUUUGCCUGACUUAGGCCAAUAAGCCCUUGGAACCUGGGCCCUAGGACCCGAAAACGGGGGUGGGUGGGUCAGAGCCCCAGUCCUGUUGGAACGCGGGGUUCAUUUUGCAGCGUGGACUUAGCUGGGGCCCGGGUCUUCAGGCUCGUGUUCUGAGAGUCCACUCGUGCUACCCCACAAUCCCCUGGGCCGCUUGGUGUUUGGCCCUGCCGUUGUGUUCUGACCCCUGAGCUGCAAACAGAGAGAUCCGUCCCCUGCGUUAGCUACGGCCGCCGGUAAGAGGUCGGCCUUUGCCCAGUGCGCUGGUCAUGGGACCAGCGUCAGCUUCUGAUCAAUCUGCGGUGUGAGGCGAGCCAGACAUUGGAGUCAGUGAGAGCACCGGAAAUGACCAGGUGUACCAGAAAAUAGCGGGCAGCCUGGCAGAGUUGGGGAUUAAACAGACCCAUGACCAGCGCAGGGAGCCAGGGCUGGGCCGCUGUGUUCGGGCGGGGGGUGUCAUGCUGGUCCCUCCCUCCCACCCACCUGCCCUGCCGACAGCCAGCAGGCUUGGAGGCAGCCAGACAGGUGCAGCGGUGCCUGGAGAGAGCUGACAGACCAAGCUGCAGUGGGGGUGGCUGGUAACUCCUCCGAAGCGGGGGUGCCCCUCCUCCCCUGCUCCACUGGGUCUGCAGCUGCUGCUGCUCCUGCCACCCCCACUCCCACCGCCACGGAGCCACCUCAGCUCAGGACCUGGAGCCUGCCUCCUGUCUGCUGUACAGAGUGGGGGUGGGGGGCUUGGAUCUCAGGGUGUCCCCCUCCCCACACCUGCGUACCUGGUAUCCACUGAGCUGGCGGUCAGGGGGAGCAUGUGUGUGCUGGUGACUCUGGGUGCGGAGUGGGUGCUGCUGUUUCAGCUCCUGAAUGCUCUGCUUAAAGAGACAGCACACUGACACACUCACUUUGGCACACUCACACUUCCCCGAUACACACACAGUCUCACAAACACACAGUCUCUCAGACACUCCCCCAGCACACACACACUCUCACUCCCCCAACACUCUCUCGCGCACACACGCGUAUAUUAUUGUUGUUACUGUUGUUACUUCAAGGCACAAAUAUUCUUUGUAAUGUUAUUCUUCCCAAGUUUGUUAAGGAUCACAGUGCUGUUAUUUUUUAUUUUUAACUGGUCUGCACAUUUCAUCAUUUUAUUUCUCUCUUAUGCUUAAAUUUAAUUCUUUGAGUAGUGAGUUCUAAAACGCCUAACCUGUCCUGGCUGGAGUAAUUCUCAUUAUUACUUUUAUUACCAUGUUGUGCUUUGUCAUUCAUUAUUUAAAGUGGUCCGAUCAAAUAAUAGUAUCCUUCUGGAAUGUAAAUUUAGCUUGUAGUCACCUGAGCAGCGCCGGUUCCAAAAAAAUUAGCUAAACACAUAAUUGUAGAUACUGUGCAGAUGAAGGUCGCUUAUUUUCAAAUGGCAUUUUUAGUUAGAUCUGUAAAAUAACUUCAAAUUAAUAGGAAAAUAACUGCGGUUCCAAGUCUGAUACUAAUAGUAAUGAUGGAGUCAAAUGUUAGUGAGUCACGUACAUGAUUGUGAUCGGUAAACAUAAACGCCAAAAUAAUCAGAAAACUAAAUUCCUGUUCUUAAUAAAAGAGGGGGAAAGCCCUUACUCGCAUAUGUUAAAAUGAAGUAAAUAAGUUUUUAAUGGAGUAUAAAACAAUUGACUAAAAUAGAGUCGAUAAUGACAGUAACACAGUGUGUCUGUUAGAGAAAGCAAGCAGAUUUUAUUUAUUUUUAUUUCUCUCUCCUAAAGAUAGUCUGGAAAAUAUCACACUUGUGUUUCUGAUACCUGUAUUAAAGCCCCAGAACUGAUCCCUCAAGGCUUGGGACUGGGACUAUCUUGCUGUAUUGUCUCCUGAUUGUUCUAAACUUUCAUAUAAACUUAAAAUGUGGCUUUAA